UGGUCGUGGCUGGCGACGACGACGACGAAUUUAUUCACUCGGUCACGUGUUUGUAGUGUUCAUAAGGUUCUAAUAAUCGACCUCAUAAAUCAUUCUUCGAAUUUAUCGCAAGUAGCCGGACAGGGACAGAUAUUGUAACAGCUACUGUAAUCAGUAUGGUGAGAAAUAUAUUUCUGAUGUGUCGGUUGUGCACCUUGUUUAUUAUUUUUUCCCAUCAAUACCUACUUCAGUACUUCAUGAUAAAUCAAUGGUGAAAUCAUUUUCUCAGCUUGAGGAACUUUGGACUUCGGUUGAGGGGGUCUUAAUUUUCAGUCAGUUCACAUUCAUCUUAAUUUGGAUUUUUGCAUCAAUUGAAUCAGCUCUGAGAACGUCAACCGGGUGUCUUAUUUUUCAAGCUAUACGAACUUUAAAACAACACUGAAGCUUAUAAAAUUCAAGUCGAUGCGAUCUCGCCAAUCAGAAAUACUGAUCUUAAAACACCUUGCCACAUGAUGGGAUGAGAUGGGCCAAUAAAAGAUGCUCGGAAGCUGUUUAGUGAUUUCAAGUCCGGAAAAACAUACCAUACAAAUAUUAUUUUUUAAACAGAGGUUUAAAAAUCUUUUUGAUUUAUUUUCGCUUCUGCUUAUUUCAGUAUUUUUCAUACUAUGAAGUGUAGUUUCAUAAUUUCAAAAUAAUUUCUAAAAUAUUGAUUCGAAGUCGAAAAAAAUUUAUUUCAAUUUAGAUUACGAAUUUUUCCAGCAAUGUUACGGAAAAACACUACACGAUACGAAACUAACCGAACUAAAUAGAUCGUUCUCUAAUUACCUAUACCAGUUCUUACCUUAUUUAUAAUCUGUAUGCUCGACAACAAAUAUAAUAAUAUAAUUUACAGGUAAAGUACAACCAUAGAGACUGAUAUAAUUUAAAAUUAAUCAAAACACAAUCGUAUUAAAUAAUUUCAAUUACAA